GGCCUCGUAGCUCAGUUGGCUAGAGCGUUGGCUGUACUUAAGCCUUCCACUUGCUGGUAUGGGUUCGAAUCCCACCGAGGCCG
rnacentral:tRNA from 1 species